ensembl:snoRNA
AUCCUUUUGUGGUUCAUGGGUUUUCAUGUGCAUGCGUGAGAUGUGCCUCACACAAGUCUUGUUACCACGUUGGCACACUACCAGUUUGACA